UCGGGAAUUUUGGGCAAUGGGCGAAAGCCUGACCCAGCAACGCCGCGUGAAGGAUGAAGUAUUUCGGUAUGUAAACUUCGAAAGAAUAGGAAGAAUAAAUGACGGUACUAUUUAUAAGGUCCGGCUAACUACGUGCCAGCAGCCGCGGUAAUACGUAGGGACCAAGCGUUGUUCGGAUUUACUGGGCGUAAAGGGCGCGUAGGCGGCAAUUCAAGUCAUCUGUGAAAUCUCCGGGCUUAACUCGGAACGGUCAGAUGAUACUGCUUUGCUAGAGUGCAGAAGGGGCAAUCGGAAUUCUUGGUGUAGCGGUGAAAUGCGUAGAUAUCAAGAGAAACACCUGAGGUGAAGACGGGUUGCUGGGCUGACACUGACGCUGAGGCGCGAAAGCCAGGGGAGCAAA
rnacentral:rRNA from 1 species